rnacentral:rRNA from 1 species
GAUCAUGGCUCACGGAUGAACGCUAGCUACAGGCUUAACACAUGCAAGUCGAGGGGCAGCAUGGUCUUAGCUUGCUAAGGCCGAUGGCGACCGGCGCACGGGUGAGUAACACGUAUCCAACCUGCCGUCUACUCUUGGACAGCCUUCUGAAAGGAAGAUUAAUACAAGAUGGCAUCAUGAGUCCGCGAUGUUCACAUGAUUAAAGGUAUUCCGGUAGACGAUGGGG